GACUUAUCAUAUCGGGGAUCAACUUCAAAUCUUGGAAAUUUCGCCGGAGAAGAAAGCCACAGGAUGCGAAACAUAGGAAUUCAAAUCCGGCGUUACUAUCUUUCGUUGUAAUUUUUGUCUCGCCUGCGUCGAAGGUAGCGGAAUGCUAGACUAAGGAAUUGCUUUUCAGGCGACGACAAUUGUUCAGUUUUCUGCUUAAGUUAAGUUUGAUAGGAACUACUUGUGAUAGAUGAUUGUUAUUUGAUAUAAAGUUGCAUUACAAUCAG